UGGAUCCAGACUUUGAUCAUGGCUCAGGAUGAACGCUAGCUACAGGCUUAACACAUGCAAGUCGAGGGGCAGCAUGAACUUAGCUUGCUAAGUUUGAUGGCGACCGGCGCACGGGUGCGUAACACGUAUCCAAUCUGCCCGUCACUCGGGGAUAGGCUUUUGAAAGAAAGAUUAAUACCCGAUGUAAUGUCUUGGGGGCAUCCUUGAGACAUUAAAGAAUUAUCGGUGACGGAUGAGGAUGCGUAUGAUUAGCUUGUUGGCGGGGUAACGGCCCACCAAGGCGACGAUCAUUAGGGGUUCUGAGAGGAAGGUCCCCCACACUGGAACUGAGACACGGUCCAAACUCCUACGGGAGGCAGCAGUGAGGAAUAUUGGUCAAUGGACGCAAGUCUGAACCAGCCAAGUAGCGUGAAGGAUGACAGCCCUAUGGGUUUUAAACUUCUUUUUUAGGGGAAUAAAGUGCGGUACGUGUUACCGUUUUGUAUGUACCCUACGAAUAAGCAUCGGCUAAUUCCGUGCCAGCAGCCGCGGUAAUACGGAAGAUGCGAGCGUUAUCCGGAUUUAUUGGGUUUAAAGGGAGCGUAGGCGGGCAGUUAAGUCAGCGGUAAAAUGUCAAGGCCCAACCUUGUCAUGCCGUUGAAACUGGCAGUCUUGAAUACACACAAGGGAGAUGGAAUUCGUCGUGUAGCGGUGAAAUGCUUAGAUAUGACGAAGAACUCCGAUUGCGAAGGCAGUCUCCUGGGGUGGAAUUGACGCUGAGGCUCGAAAGUGCGGGAAUCAAACAGGAUUAGAUACCCUGGUAGUCCGCACCGUAAACGAUGAAUGCUGGUUUUUGGCGAUAUAAUGUCAGGAACUGAGGGAAACCAUUAAGCAUUCCACCUGGGGAGUACGCCGGCAACGGUGCAACUCAAAGGAAUUGACGGA
rnacentral:rRNA from 1 species